rnacentral:rRNA from 1 species
AGACCCGAAACCCGGUGAUCUAGCCAUGGGCAGGUUGAAGGUUGGGUAACACUAACUGGAGGACCGAACCGACUAAUGUUGAAAAAUUAGCGGAUGACCUGUGGCUGGGGGUGAAAGGCCAAUCAAACCGGGAGAUAGCUGGUUCUCCCCGAAAGCUAUUUAGGUAGCGCCUCGUGAAUUCAUCUCCGGGGGUAGAGCACUGUUUCGGCUAGGGGGCCAUCCCGGCUUACCAACCCGAUGCAAACUGCGAAUACCGGAGAAUGUUAUCACGGGAGACACACGGCGGGUGCUAACGUCCGUCGUGAAGAGGGAAACAACCCAGACCGCCAGCUAAGGUCCCAAAGUCAUGGUUAAGUGGGAAACGAUGUGGGAAGGCCCAGACAGCCAGGAUGUUGGCUUAGAAGCAGCCAUCAUUUAAAGAAAGCGUAAUAGCUCACUGGUCGAGUCGGCCUGCGCGGAAGAUGUAACGGGGCUAAACCAUGCACCGAAGCUGCGGCAGCGACACUAUGUGUUGUUGGGUAGGGGAGCGUUCUGUAAGCCGUCGAAGGUGUGCUGUGAGGCAUGCUGGAGGUAUCAGAAGUGCGAAUGCUGACAUAAGUAACGAUAAAGCGGGUGAAAAGCCCGCUCGCCGGAAGACCAAGGGUUCCUGUCCAACGUUAAUCGGGGCAGGGUGAGUCGACCCCUAAGGCGAGGCCGAAAGGCGUAGUCGAUGGGAAACAGGUUAAUAUUCCUGUACUUGGUGUUACUGCGAAGGGGGGACGGAGAAGGCUAUGUUGGCCGGGCGACGGUUGUCCCGGUUUAAGCGUGUAGGCUGACUUUCCAGGCAAAUCCGGAAAGUUAAGGCUGAGGCGUGAUGACGAGGCACUACGGUGCUGAAGUGACAAAUGCCCUGCUUCCAGGAAAAGCCUCUAAGCAUCAGGUAACAUCAAAUCGUACCCCAAACCGACACAGGUGGUCAGGUAGAGAAUACCAAGGCGCUUGAGAGAACUCGGGUGAAGGAACUAGGCAAAAUGGUGCCGUAACUUCGGGAGAAGGCACGCUGACAUGUAGGUGAAGCCCCUGCGGGUGGAGCUGAAGUCAGUCGAAGAUACCAGCUGGCUGCAACUGUUUAUUAAAAACACAGCACUGUGCAAACACGAAAGUGGACGUAUACGGUGUGACGCCUGCCCGGUGCCGGAAGGUUAAUUGAUGGGGUUAUCGCAAGAGAAGCUCCUGAUCGAAGCCCCGGUAAACGGCGGCCGUAACUAUAACGGUCCUAAGGUAGCGAAAUUCCUUGUCGGGUAAGUUCCGACCUGCACGAAUGGCGUAAUGAUGGCCAGGCUGUCUCCACCCGAGACUCAGUGAAAUUGAACUCGCUGUGAAGAUGCAGUGUACCCGCGGCAAGACGGAAAGACCCCGUGAACCUUUACUACAGCUUGACACUGAACAUUGAGCCUUGAUGUGUAGGAUAGGUGGGAGGCUUUGAAGCGUGGACGCCAGUCUGCGUGGAGCCAACCUUGAAAUACCACCCUUUAAUGUUUGAUGUUCUAACCUGGCGCCGUGAUCCGGCGUGGGGACAGUGUCUGGUGGGUAGUUUGACUGGGGCGGUCUCCUCCCAAAGUGUAACGGAGGAGCACGAAGGUCAGCUAAUCCUGGUCGGACAUCAGGAGGUUAGUGCAAUGGCAUAAGCUGGCUUGACUGCGAGAGUGACGGCUCGAGCAGGUGCGAAAGCAGGUCAUAGUGAUCCGGUGGUUCUGUAUGGAAGGGCCAUCGCUCAACGGAUAAAAGGUACUCCGGGGAUAACAGGCUGAUACCGCCCAAGAGUUCAUAUCGACGGCGGUGUUUGGCACCUCGAUGUCGGCUCAUCACAUCCUGGGGCUGAAGUAGGUCCCAAGGGUAUGGCUGUUCGCCAUUUAAAGUGGUACGCGAGCUGGGUUUAGAACGUCGUGAGACAGUUCGGUCCCUAUCUGCCGUGGGCGCUGGAGAAUUGAGGGGGGCUGCUCCCAGUACGAGAGGACCGGAGUGGACGCAUCACUGGUGUUCGGGUUGUCAUGCCAAUGGCACUGCCCGGUAGCUAAAUGCGGAAGAGAUAAGUGCUGAAAGCAUCUAAGCACGAAACUUGCCCCGAGAUGAGUUCUCCCUGAGACUAUAAGUCUCCUGAAGGAACGUUGAAGACGACGACGUUGAUAGGCCGGGUGUGUAAGCGCAGCGAUGCGUUGAGCUAACCGGUACUAAUGAACCGUGAGGCUUAACCUUACAACGCCAA